rnacentral:rRNA from 1 species
AGGAUGAACGCUGGCGGCGUGCUUAACACAUGCAAGUCGAACGAUGAACCUCACUUGUGGGGGAUUAGUGGCGAACGGGUGAGUAACACGUGAGUACCCUGCCCUUGACUCUGGGAUAAGCCCGGGAAACUGGGUCUAAUACUGGAUAUGACUUCUCAUCGCAUGGGUGGGGGGUGAAGCUUUAUUGCGGUUUUGGAUGGACUCGCGGCCUAUCAGCUUGUUGGUGGGGUAAUGGCCUACCGAAGGCGACGACGGGUAGCCGGCCUGAGAGGGUGGACGGCCACACUGGGACUGAGACACCGGCCCAGGACCUCCGUACGGGAGGCAGCAGGUGGGGAAU